ACGGGAAGGCAGCAGUGGGGAAUAUUGCACAAUGGGGGAAACCCUGAUGCAGCGACGCCGCGUGAGUGAAGAAGUAUUUCGGUAUGUAAAGCUCUAUCAGCAGGGAAGAAAAUGACGGUACCUGACUAAGAAGCCCCGGCUAACUACGUGCCAGCAGCCGCGGUAAUACGUAGGGGGCAAGCGUUAUCCGGAUUUACUGGGUGUAAAGGGAGCGUAGACGGCGAUGCAAGUCUGAUGUGAAAGCCCGGGGCUCAACCCCGGCACUGCAUUGGAAACUGUGUUGCUAGAGUGCAGGAGAGGUAAGUGGAAUUCCUAGUGUAGCGGUGAAAUGCGUAGAUAUUAGGAGGAACACCAGAGGCGAAGGCGGCUUACUGGACUGUAACUGACGUUGAGGCUCGAAAGCGUGGGGAGCAAACAGGAUUAGAUACCCUGGUA
rnacentral:rRNA from 1 species